UACGUAGGUGGCAAGCGUUGUCCGGAUUUAUUGGGCGUAAAGCGAGCGCAGGCGGUUCCUUAAGUCUGAUGUGAAAUCCCCCGGCUCAACCGGGGAGGGUCAUUGGAAACUGGGGGACUUGAGUGCAGAAGAGGAUAGUGGAAUACCAUGUGUAGCGGUGAAAUGCGUAGAUAUAUGGAGGAACACCGGUGGCGAAGGCGACUCUCUGGACUGUAACUGACGCUGAGGCUCGAAAGCGUGGGGAGCAAACAGG
rnacentral:rRNA from 1 species